UCAAACCCAUCGUACCUGAGAGAGUUUGAUCUCAGCUCAAACAAGCCUCAAGACUCAGGAGUAAAGCUGCUCUCUAAUCUACUGGAGGAUCCACAGUGUAAACUAGAGAAACUGAAGUUGAGUAAAUGCAGUAUCGGAGAGGAAGGUUGUUUUGCUCUGGCUUCAGCUCUGAGAUCAAACCCCUCACACCUCAGAGAACUGAACCUAAGCUUGAAUAAACCUGGAAACUCAGUGAAAUUCUUGUCCGAUCUUCUGGAAGAUACAAAUUGCAAACUGGAGUCCCUAAAACUCUAGGCUCCAUGCAUUUGACCUGAUUGACACUGUCCUACAGAGUAGCCUGUUCCUUUGUCUCCACUGCC